UUGUUUUGCAUUCCGAUAUUUUAUUUAGUAAAUUAGUUUGUUUCUCCUCAGAUUGUUGCCGCUGUUCUUUGCUCCCAGGGCCAUCUCCCUACCCUUUUCCCCUUUCCCCUUUUCCCGGGAUGUGGGCCCUUGGGUCCCCCGUCCCCUUUGUCACGGAAUCGGGCCUAACGCCCGUAAACCGUUGACAGUGGUAAGGAAUAGGUUGGGGAAAAACAGCCUCUCUUGUUUCUGCAAAACCUCCAUUUCCCAUCAAAAAUGGACAAUUAUUAGAGUUUGCCCAAAUCAUUGAGAGGGGUUUUUUGUGUUGUUGUUGUUUUUUUUUUUUAAAUUCCAGGGAGUUACCAUAAUGAACCCUAGAAAGAAGAACCAUCAAUAGCAAUCAUAAAUCUUUCAACAAAUUUUGGAAUCUGUGAAAAUCUGAUAACAAGCACAAGUCUGACUGUGCAAGUGUCACCCAAAAUGUACAAGCUGUUAGCUAAAAGGAAAGAUGUUCCUCCAAGAGAUAUGCAGCAGUAGUUGGUUCAGUUCCCUGCAGUCCUAUAUGCCCCCUAUUCCCCAAGCUGCAGUAGAAUCUUCCCAGCAGAGAGGAAGAUGUGGUUCAGCAUUUCACAGAACGUUCAAUCCUGCUUCAGGGAAUGGAGUCCAGCACAUAUUUGAAGUGUGGGAAGGAGAUAGGAUGAUAUGGGAUGGUAUUACAGAGUUCAGCUUGAACACUGUCACUUUAAAACUAUAAUAAAAUAAG
rnacentral:lncRNA from 1 species